CUUGGAAUGAUCCAUGUUUAUCUUUUUGGAACAAUCUUUAUAUAUUGAAAAAAGGAAAAACAACCUCUCCAACUAUCUUGCUUCAUCGUCAUCCUCAAUUUGUGCUGAUAUUUGUAACAAUCUGUUCUUACAAUUUUAGCGUUUGGAAAGUAAAGUUGCUUCAGGGGCACAGAGGAACACUGUUGCGACUUAAAGUAUGAGGAUAGUGUACAACUUGAAUACCUGGAAAAUUGCGGAGGAUUC